GCUUGAGUUGGGUAAUUGCUGGUAUUUACUAUCAAGAUGAGCUCGGAAGCCUAUGAACCAACUAGAUUAGGAUAAAUCUUUUGAAAAUUAUAAGAGAUAUGGCUGAGGUGUUUGACAAAAAUUCAAAGAGAAAAUACAGAUUCCAUCACCAGCAAUCUUCAUGUUUGCUUUUAACCGCAAGUGACAGAAAGGGAUAUCGACCAGUUUAGACUCAAUGAACAUAGAGGCUGAUCAAGUACAAGGAAUGACAACUCCAUUGUGAGCAUCAUAUAAUUACGAGAUUCCUUUAUGAUCAAGUGAAUCGAUAACUUACAAUCAAUCCGCAUAUGUGUCUAGCAUUUCAU